AAAAUAUUAGAAUUAGUGGGUAGGUCGAAAAAAUUGAACGCAAACACCUCUUUAUACGUUAUGCGCUCCUGGUACUUCAUACUAGUAACUAAUAA